rnacentral:rRNA from 1 species
UACAGAGGGUGCGAGCGUUAAUCGGAAUUACUGGGCGUAAAGCGCGCGUAGGCGGCUUGUUAAGUCAAAUGUGAAAUCCCCGAGCUUAACUUGGGCAUUGCAUUCGAUACUGGCAAGCUAGAGUAUGGGAGAGGAAGGUAGAAUUCCAGGUGUAGCGGUGAAAUGCGUAGAGAUCCGGAGGAAUACCGAUGGCGAAGGCAGCCUUCUGGCCUAAUACUGACGCUGAGGUGCGAAAGCAUGGGGAGCAAACAGG